GGUGCUGUAGCUCAGUCGGCAGAGUACGUCCUUCAUACGGACGGGGUCGAUGGAUCGUUCCCAUCCAGCACCACCA
rnacentral:tRNA from 1 species